CUGCCUUUUGCAUUCUUCGUGGUUGUUGUACUGUGCAAACAAUACCAUGCUGCUGAAUUAUGCAUGAUUUUUUCAAAUACAAUUUCACCUCCAUUUACGGACUUCAGUAGUGAUCAAAGCACGGCACAUUGUAUCUCAUGCUGCUAAGUUCUGAGAUGACCAUACACGUCUCUUAUGAUUGCGCAGGAAUUGGAGAAAUCGAAGCCUGUCAUACUAACCGGUGAUCUUAAUUGUGCACAUCAGGAGAUUGUUAUACAUGACCCUGCUGUGAGUAACCAUCUGUUUGAAUUUUUUAUGCUGAAUGUAUUGUUAAUUUUUAGUCUCUCACUUAAUUGUAUCCUUAUUUGGUUGUUUGUUUUAUGCUAUAAACACCUUGAUCCCUGUAAUAGAGUAGAAUGACUGAGAAGUUUAGCCAUGGUUUUGGACCCAUGUUAGGUCUGAGAUUUCUGUUCCAGUUUUUUUAGAAAGCUUGAAGAGUGGAGAAAAUUGUUGCCCAAAGUUGUGAGAAACCGAUAAACCUUACAUUGCAUUGUCAUGGUGUUGUUCUUUUAGCAACCUGUACUCCUUGUUGCUCAUAUCUAUAUGUAUAUGCUCGGUGCCCUCCAUCAGAUUGGAAUAUGUGGUAAACCGUAAACAUUACCAGUUUUGCUUUAGCUACUUCACCUAUCUUUUCUACAUGGUCUUUAACCCAUUUUUAAUACCUGUUUUCCAGGGAAAUCGUAGAAGUGCAGGCUUCACAAACGAGGAAACAUAAUCAUUUGGGACCAAUUUUUUGUCCAAAGGGUUUGUUGAUACGUUUUGGAAACAACAUCCUAAUGUUGUUGCCUAUAGUUACUGGGGGUACAAGCAUAAUGCCCGGAAGACAAACAAAGGUUGGCGCCUGGAUUACUUUCUUGUGUCCGAAUCAAUCGCAGAAAAAGUGCAUGAUUCAUAUAUUCUUCCGGACAUCUCUACCAGUGAUCACAGUCCCCUUGGUCUCGUGCUGAAGCUGUAGGCUGUAUCACAGGCUAUGCCAAACAUUCAGUCUGAAGCCUGUGCCAUAUUUCUCAGACAGCGAUGCUUAUUCCUGAUGGUUUCUGGUUCGUGCAGAUCCCUGGCAGGAACAAUGACUUUUGUCAGACUAUUAGUGAAAUAAGGCUUUGUAACGCACUGAGCAGAUUUGACUAUUAGUGGACAACUUGCUGUUAGCAAAGCUGCACCUUUGUAGUGUAAAUAUGCGGCCAUAUCUUGUGCUGCACUUGUGCAGCUCAAUAUGAGCAGCGGGGGAAGCUCAUUACCUGGUUAUGGAAUUAUGAUACUGACCUUAACCUGUUGAGGUCUUUAAACU